ACACAAAACAUAGAAAAAGAAAAAUGUUUUCAGAUGAAAAGAAAAGCAAAAAUUAUGGUUCAAUCUUUUUGUACUGCUUCUUCUGUUUCGUACUCAUUGUGGAAGUUGCAAGAUUCGCAAAACCUUAUUACAACCUUCAAAACCUAAUGGAGACAGAAGCAGUAGUAGAAGAAGGUUUCUUGGCGGUGGAAGACUCAGGGAAACUUCCAUGUCGCUUGUUAAGUCGUCCCUCUGUCUCUGUUCCUAGUCAGGAUCAACAGAAGCUCUCGCAAGCAGUAACGCAAGAAACAAGAACUCGUCCUCCAAAUUCAUACUGUGUGAAGUUCCAGUCUUUUAUCACUAUGGCAAAACAGGUCAAAGAAAAUGGUGGCAAGUAUGAGUCACGUCCAUUCUCCGUUGGUGGAUACAACUGGACGUUCAUUAUCUACCCGAACUCAGACAUUCCAUCGGGCUCGGGUGGAUACAUCGCUUUACUUAAGAAUCGAUAACUCAAGCCUCAUCACCAAUCCGAAAGAUGUGUACGCAGAUAUCACAUUCCUCGCUUAUAAAAGCAGUACAGACAAGUACCAAUCAUACCAAGAGACUGAUGCGCAGCGAUUUCAUUUGUUUAGACAACAGUGGGGACAAAUAACCUUUCUUCCGAUAGCAUAUUUUGAAAAUCCGGGAUAUGGAUACUCUUUCGACGGCGGAAGCGUUGUGUUUGGCGUUGACAUCAACAUUGUUAAACCCUUUGAAAAUUGGGAAGUUUUCUCUAACGAACAAAACAUUCGUGACCCUAUUUUCGAAUGGAGACUCACCAAAUUCUCUACACUCUUUAAAGACUCUUACACUUCUGGUUCCUUUUCUUCCGGAGGAAGAAACUGGGCAUUGAAAUUGUAUCCAAAUGGAGUUGGAAAUGCAACGGGUAAUUCGUUGUCACUCUAUUUGUUGAAUGAGUCAAAUGAUAAGGGUUACGUGGAAGCCAAGUUACAAAUUAUUGACCAGAACCAAUCCAACCAUUUCGUGAAAAAAGUGGCGGCAUGGCCCAAUGCAACAGAGAAUUGAUGGGGUUUCGACAGGUUUAUACCUUUUUCAGAUCGCAGAAACGCAUCCAAAGGUUAUGUCGUCAACGAUACCCUCAAAUUUCAAGUCGAGAUCUUGUCCUUCUCGAAAACCGACUUCUACUCUCAUCAGUCGUCUGUUGUUCUUCCUAUUUCAACUGGAGAUAGUACUUAGGUGACUAAUCUUUGCUAUGUAAUUCAACAACUAGCCACUAGAACUAUGGUUCAUUGUUUUUGUUUCAGUUUAAUAAUAAUGAGUUCGAGCCA